ACCUGUUCCGAGGGGUGCUCCGACGAGGAGCUGAGAUACCGCAAGCUUGGGCCGUUACCUCACAGAGGUGAAGUCCUGGGACCGCGGUGACCCUUUGAACCUGAUCCGGGUCAUGCCGGCGAAGGGACAGGGAUGUACCAGAAGU
rnacentral:ncRNA from 1 species